CCUACGGGAGGCAGCAGUGAGGAAUAUUGGUCAAUGGGCGCGAGCCUGAACCAGCCAAGUAGCGUGAAGGAUGACUGCCCUACGGGUUGUAAACUUCUUUUAUAAAGGAAUAAAGUGAGGCACGUGUGCCUUUUUGUAUGUACUUUAUGAAUAAGGAUCGGCUAACUCCGUGCAAGCAGCCGCGGUAAUACGGAGGAUCCGAGCGUUAUCCGGAUUUAUUGGGUUUAAAGGGAGCGUAGAUGGGUUGUUAAGCCAGUUGUGAAAGUUUGCGGCUCAACCGUAAAAUUGAAAUUGAUAUUGGCAGUGUUGAGUACAGUUGAGGUAGGCGUAAUUCGUGGUGUAGCGGUGAAGUGCUUAG
rnacentral:rRNA from 1 species